rnacentral:rRNA from 1 species
GAUGAACGCUGGCUACAGGCUUAACACAUGCAAGUCGAGGGGAAACGACGGGGAAGCUUGCUUCCCCGGGCGUCGACCGGCGCACGGGUGAGUAACGCGUAUCCAACCUGCCUCUGACUGAGGGAUAACCCGUCGAAAGUCGGCCUAAUACCUCAUGGCAUCGUCUGCGGGCAUCCAACGACGAUUAAAGAUUUCAUCGGUCAGAGAUGGGGAUGCGUCUGAUUAGCUUGUUGGCGGGGUAACGGCCCACCAAGGCGACGAUCAGUAGGGGUUCUGAGAGGAAGGUCCCCCACAUUGGAACUGAGACACGGACCAAACUCCUACGGGAGGCAGCAGUGAGGAAUAUUGGUCAAUGGGCGAGAGCCUGAACCAGCCAAGUAGCGUGCAGGAUGACGGCCCUAUGGGUUGUAAACUGCUUUUAUGCGGGGAUAAAGUGAGGGACGUGUCCUUCAUUGCAGGUACCGCAUGAAUAAGGACCGGCUAAUUCCGUG